AAAUACCUAAAGAAAUUAGUUUGUUUUUACAUAAAACCGACUAUGAGAUAAUCUAGGGAGAAUAAUUAUAUGUGGAGUUGAAGGCUGGUCUUGAAUCAGAAUCCAGAAGCAUAUAUGUUUCUUACCACCUGCAAUUGCGCGGGAUUUUAUCGCAAACAGGCUAUUCUUUAGGUUUUUU
rnacentral:other from 1 species